GACGAACGCUGGCGGCGUGCUUAACACAUGCAAGUCGAACGGAAAGGCCCUGCUUUUGUGGGGUUCUCGAGUGGCGAACAGGUGAGUAACACGUGAGUAACAUGCCCUUGUCUUUGGGAUAACUUCAGGAAAAUGGGGAUAAUACAGGAUAGGAGCUACUGCUGCAUGGUGGGGGUUGGUAAGAUACGGCGGUUGGGGAUGGAUUCGCGGCUUAUCAGCUUGUUGGUGGGGUAGUGGCUUACCAAGGCUUUGACGGGUAGCCGGCCUGAGAGGGUGACCGGCCACACUGGGACUUAGAGACGGCACAGACUGCUACGGGAGGCAGCAGGGGGGAAGACUGCAGGAUGGGCGGAAGGCUGAUGCAGCAACGCUGCGGGCCGUAUGACUGCCUUCUGGGGGUAAACCGCAUGCGCCAGUGACGAAGCGUGAGUGGCGGGAAUGGGUAAAGAAGGACCGGCUAACUACGGG
rnacentral:rRNA from 1 species